AACGAACGCUGGCGGCGCGCCUAAUACAUGCAAGUCGAGCGAGAAGACGUAGCAAUACGUUUGUAAAGCGGCGAACGGGUGAGGAAUACAUGGGUAACCUACCCUCGAGUGGGGAAUAACUAGCCGAAAGGUUAGCUAAUACCGCGUACGCUCCUUGGACUUCGGUUCAGGGAGGAAAGCGAUACCGUGGGUAUCGCGCUCUUGGAUGGGCUCAUGUCCUAUCAGCUUGUUGGUGAGGUAACGGCUCACCAAGGCUUCGACGGGUAGCUGGUCUGAGAGGACGAUCAGCCACACUGGCACUGCGACACGGGCCAGACUCCUACGGGAGGCAGCAGUAGGGGAUAUUGCGCAAUGGGCGAGAGCCUGACGCAGCGACGCCGCGUGGGGGA
rnacentral:rRNA from 1 species